AUCUAACCUCCUCGUUAGAUUGUCUACAUACCCUCAUUAGGGAUCAAGCCAUUCGUAGUGUGUCGUUCACUACCUAUCUACAUUUACCACAGUACGUUCAAGCCAAAAGAUAUAACACUCCUCAAUCAAUCAUUAGAACUUGACAAGUAUGAAAGUACUAGAUUCAGGGCUACGUAACAAUCCAAUAUGACAAUCAACAUUUCCACUUCAUCCAUCGUAUAAAUCACUGUGUUUUCAACAUGAAACCUUAAUCCACAACAUGUAACAUAUCCAAGAACCAACAAAGUACAGUAUUAUUCUUAAGCCACAUUGAGCAACGAGACUAAUCAUAAUAAUAAUAAUCAUAUCCCACAUCAUUCCGCAAUCAUUCUAAUUAAUCAAUCCUAAAAAUCAACGAAGUAUAAUAUCAACAUUUACUAUGUUAUUCAAUCAAUAAGGUUCCACAUCAAUUCACAAAUCUUAAUAAAGGAUCCCUACAUAAUUCCCCACUUGGAUUCCAAAUACUAACAUGAUAAGUCUAAUUUAUACACCAUGUCUACUAUGAACAAUUCAUAUUCACUCAAUUCUAAGGUCGGACUACCUUUAUGGAAAAUGAGCAAGAGUAGGGAUUCCAGACCACUCAACAGAAUCCAACCAAAAUACCAAGUGACCUCUUGUACUCUCUUCAGACCUGACAUCUGUACAAUAUGUGCCUACACCAUGAGAAUUUUGCAUCGGCAUCAAGAACUCGAAUGGGCUGCGAAGCUCGUGUGAGUGACAAUAAUACAAUGUAUGUGAUAAUAAUAAUAAAAUCAGCCAUCAAUCACAGUUUAUAAACCUUGAAUAUAAAUCAUUCGUAAGGAAUCAAUACCAAACCUUUGAAAACUCUUAAGGAGUCACCCAGACAUCCAACGGUUCAUCUGAAACAAAUCACAACAUCUCACAACCAUAAUCUCAUACAAUACAAUGAAAAUUAGGGCUAGAGCGACACAGUUCGGCCGAAGACUACAUCUUUGAAGCUAUCUCAAUCCAAUUUCAAUGAAACCCAAGGUGGAUACAAUCCC
rnacentral:lncRNA from 1 species